rnacentral:rRNA from 1 species
AACGAACGCUGGCGGCGUGCCUAACACAUGCAAGUCGAACGCGAAAAGCAGUAAUGCUGAGUAGAGUGGCGCACGGGUGAGUAACACGUAAAUGACAUGUCCUCGAGACGGGAAUAACCAGCCGAAAGGCUGGCUAAUACCCGGUAAGCCCACGUCUUUGGAGAUGAGGGAAAAGGGUCGGGAAUUUUCGAAUCCGAUCGCUUGAGGAGUGGUUUGCGGCCCAUCAGGUAGUUGGCGAGGUAAAAGCUCACCAAGCCUAAGACGGGUAGCUGGUCUGAGAGGAUGAUCAGCCACACUGGAACUGAGACACGGUCCAGACUCCUACGGGAGGCAGCAGUGGGGAAUCUUGCGCAAUGGGAGCAAUCCUGACGCAGCAACGCCGCGUGGGUGAUGAAGGUCUUCGGAUCGUAAAGCCCUGUCGGAGGGGAAGAUGCUUGGAACGUCUAAUAGAUGAGCCAGGUGACGGUACCCUCAAAGGAAGCACCGGCUAACU